rnacentral:rRNA from 1 species
UACGUAGGGUGCAAGCGUUAAUCGGAAUUACUGGGCGUAAAGCGUGCGCAGGCGGUUUUGUAAGUCUGUCGUGAAAUCCCCGGGCUCAACCUGGGAAUUGGCGAUGGAGACUGCAAGGCUAGAAUCUGGCAGAGGGGGGUAGAAUUCCACGUGUAGCAGUGAAAUGCGUAGAGAUGUGGAGGAACACCGAUGGCGAAGGCAGCCCCCUGGGU